rnacentral:rRNA from 1 species
UACGUAGGGGGCAAGCGUUGUCCGGAAUUAUUGGGCGUAAAGAGCGUGUAGGCGGCCAAACAGGUCCGUUGUGAAAACUGGAGGCUCAACCUCCAGACGUCGACGGAAACCGUGUGGCUAGAGUCCGGAAGAGGAGAGUGGAAUUCCUGGUGUAGCGGUGAAAUGCGCAGAUAUCAGGAAGAACACCAAUGGCGAAGGCAGCUCUCUGGGACGGUACUGACGCUGAGACGCGAAAGCGUGGGGAGCGAACAGG